rnacentral:snoRNA from 1 species
GGCCGGUGAUGUAACAAGAUAUUUGCUACUCUUGAUGGGGAUUUACUAAGUUCCUAUCUGAUGAUUCCUUAUCCACCAAGAUCUCUGAGGCC